GGUUAUUAAAUUAAAAAUCCUAAAGUAUUGGAAUGAUACAGGGAAGAUUAACAUCCUCUGUGCAAGGAUGACAUGCAAAUUUGUGAAGUGUUUCAUAUUUAA